ACCGCCCGUCGCUUCAUCGAAGUUGGUUUUAGGCGAGGUGGUGCGAUUUGGCAUUAUCGAACCUGAGAUCAGCAANCGAGGGAG
rnacentral:rRNA from 1 species